ACCUCCAGCCAAACAUCAUCUGGUGCUUUGUGGAAGACUAGUGAUUUUGUUGUUGUGACCUGAGACUUAACAACAAAUCCCAGUCUGCCUCACAGCUCCAGAUACAUGCAUCCAACUGAAGC
rnacentral:pre_miRNA from 17 species